rnacentral:rRNA from 1 species
GUGGGGAAUAUUGGGCAAUGGGCGCAAGCCUGACCCAGCAACGCCGCGUGAAGGAAGAAGGCUUUCGGGUUGUAAACUUCUUUUACCAGGGACGAAAAAAAUGACGGUACCUGGAGAAUAAGCCACGGCUAACUACGUGCCAGCAGCCGCGGUAAUACGUAGGUGGCAAGCGUUGUCCGGAUUUACUGGGUGUAAAGGGCGCGUAGGCGGGAGAGCAAGUCAGGAGUGAAAUCUAUGGGCUUAACCCAUAAAUUGCUUUUGAAACUGUUUUUCUUGAGUGAUGGAGAGGCAAGCGGAAUUCCUAGUGUAGCGGUGAAAUGCGUAGAUAUUAGGAGGAACACCAGUGGCGAAGGCGGCUUGCUGGACAUUAACUGACGCUGAUGCGCGAAAGCGUGGGGAGCAAACAGGAUUAGAUACCCCUGUAGUCC